rnacentral:tRNA from 1 species
CGCGGGGUGGAGCAGUCUGGUAGCUCGUUGGGCUCAUAACCCAAAGGUCGCUGGUUCGAAUCCAGCCCCCGCUA